rnacentral:lncRNA from 1 species
UGCGUUCUUUGAGUUCUUCCCGAGUUCCCUUUUGCCCCUUCUCUUUAGUGGCUCGAUUCUUUGAUUUGAGAUUGUUUCGAUCUAUGUUUGUUGAGUUGAUUUGAUCUAUGACGUGAUUUGAGCCUUUCCACCGAAGGAACUCAACUAAUUCCUCACGAGAUCGCAGAUCGGGUCGAAUCAUGGUGGUUUCAAAACCGGUAUUUUUUUGGGGUUUUAUGAUUUUCCGUUGAUUGGCUUGAAAUUGGGUGCUGAUCUUUUUGGAGUAGCCUACCAACUAUGCGAUAAACCUCUCUGCAAAGUUUCAAGUCAAUCGGAGUUGAUUUAGUUGAGUUUUGGUCUUCAAAUUUAUUUUCUUGAAAUCCGCUCAAAAAUACCAGACGCGUCCGGUAUUUUUAUCCUUGGGAUUUCAAGGUGAACUUUGGUGGAGACCUUCCCCUGGGUGUCUAGAAGCUAUGGUUAAAAUUCAUAAUUUUUGGACACCAUUUGGUAUGGUUUUUGAUUUUUUUUCCAAGGUCGCUCUGUGCUGUUUCAGCAUACUGGAUAUGUGUGGUAUUCAACUAGACGUGUGUUGACGGUCCUUAAUGCUCACAUUUAACCGUCAACUAAUCAUGGAAAAGGAUCCAAAUGCAACCAACACCCAGACUUAGGGUUUUAUCUGACAGAAUUCCACGAGUUUUGGUGUUUGUCUAUUUCUGCAGGGGGUUAUCAGGAAAUACGGAGGAAAGGCCCACAUGUUGGGUUUACAUAGAGAUAUUAACGUGCCGUGCAAUUUUCUAUCAUCUAGAAGACUCUAGAAGCCACGGGAACGAACGGAAGGCCGAGCGGACCCGGGGACAGGGCGCCCGCCCUCCCCCCUGUAGCACCCGGUUUUAAGAACAAACCAGAUACACACCAUAUGUGAGCCCAGGAAGUCAAAUCUCACAUAUAGCCACAAAUAGGGGUAAUAUCAAUAGACAAUGCUUAUAUAAUGAACUUAGUAUAAAAGAUAUUGUUGAUGCAAAAAGAUCUGCAAACACAAAGGGCUAAUACCCGAUUCAAACGUUAAGGCGUGCCAGCCGAUUUGACCUUACUAUCGGCAAAGGUGGUAACUCGAAUACUUUAGUCCUGACAACAGCGAUGCUCCCGGAUGUCACGGCUAAGAGGUACUCACGCGGAACUUGAGAACACGCCGAGCUUAAGUCGACGAACUCCUAAGAACUCGUAAUAAAAGGAAAAAAAUAUGACGAAGUCGUCGAAAAGUAGAUGCUGGAAUAUGAGUAAAAACGUGUAUUUGAUUGAUUGAUUAAUGUCUCAUUACAAAGCCCUAGGGUCCAUAUUUAUACCCUGCUCAAAGAGCUAUAACUAAACACGACC